GCACCAAAUUUGAAGUCUUGAACUCCAAGAUCGAUCCUGAACAUUGCCAAGAAAGUGUCAUAAUCGUUUCUUUCAACUAGCUUGGGAAAUCCCCAACCAUAGUGGGCUUGGAGCUAUGAGGGAAUUAGGAGUGGCCACCCGUUCUAAAAGUUUGAUUUUCUUCUGGUGAACUGGACAUCCUUUUAUUUACGUUUGAAGUUUUUGGGCUUUUAAAUGUAAAAAGGCCGCUUAAUUAUUUUUGAUGGUUUUAAUAUGUAUUACUAAGAUAGGUAAUACUUAUUUUAA